rnacentral:rRNA from 1 species
UGGGGAAUAUUGCACAAUGGGCGAAAGCCUGAUGCAGCAACGCCGCGUGAGUGAUGAAGGCCUUCGGGUUGUAAAGCUCUGUCUUUUGGGACGAUAAUGACGGUACCAAAGGAGGAAGCCACGGCUAACUACGUGCCAGCAGCCGCGGUAAUACGUAGGUGGCAAGCGUUGUCCGGAUUUACUGGGCGUAAAGGAUGCGUAGGCGGUUUUUAAGUGAGAUGUGAAAUACCCGGGCUUAACUUGGGUNCUGCAUUUCAAACUGGGAAUCUAGAGUGCGGGAGAGGAGAAUGGAAUUCCUAGUGUAGCGGUGAAAUGCGUAGAGAUUAGGAAGAACGCCCAGUGGCGAAGGCGAUUCUCUGGACCGUAACUGACGCUGAGGCAUG